GUCUCAGUAGCAUAGUGGUUAGUGCACAGCUCCGGAUAGGUAGGGAUACGCGGGUUCGAAUCCCGCCUGAGAUG
rnacentral:tRNA from 1 species